CUUCUAGGAAGUUCACUGGGAGAUCCUACUGAACUGAUCACAAUGCCUCAGAAACACCUCAGCUUGGGCUCAGCCAAGCACAUACGAUUGAUUUGUGAGGUCACAUUAAUCAAUUAAAGGCAUGAUCUGCCUGGAUGAAUCUGCUAACAAUAGGCAUCAACUGGAAGAAGCUUUCAGCAUUUGAACCCAAAUAAGGAACACCUGCUGGUGUCUGUUAUUUUUUUUUUUAAUCCAGUGAUACAAAAGGAAAUCCAUUUAAAAAAAACCAAAUACCAUAUUUUACACUACAAUAUAACAGCAGGGUUUUAUUAAACUGAAGGUCACAAUAGGGUUGUUAUUAAUCAUAGCAGUGCAAUUUAAAGAAACUUUAUAUUUCCAGAUGUUACUGUUUGCCAUAUAAUGUUCAAAACAGACCUCUGCCUGGUAAAGCAAGAACUAGCAGAAUCUCACAAUCAUAAUGGGGCCAGAGCAAACAGGGGAAGCUGGGAAAACAUUUCCAUCUUUUCUUCUGUGCCAUCAGCUGGAGGCCCCUCCUCCAGUGACACGCUAUGCCCGGCCACACGUUGUAUGGUGGUAUGGGAAAUAAAGUAUUGAGGAAUUGGUGGUAGUUAAGGUUUUCUCCUGACAUUAAGUCCAUUAUAAAUGGGUUAUAUAGCUGUGUGGAAGGGCCUUGAAUCUACACUGCCAUAUAAUCCAGUGCAAAUUAGAUAAUCUGUGAAAGAGACCUAAGUGAGGCCUAACUCGGCCUGUCCCCUGGGCUGAGUGGGUUGCUAGGAGACCAAGUGGGCAGAGAUUAGUCCUCUAACUGGCAGCAAUUGGAUAAAAACAAUUAUUCCUUUCCCUCUAAUUAGGACUUUACUUUUCUUUUCUUUUUGUUGUAUCAACCUAGAGGCGUGGAUGAUGGGUUGUGUUGUCAAAUUUCGAGGUUGGGGGGCCUGUUGUUUUGUUGUUUUGUUGGUCACCGUGAUGCCAUCACUCAUUUAUAUAUAUAGAUUUGUUAUUUAUAAAUUACAUUUUCUUAUUUUAAAACAUGUGACAAAAAUUGAGGAGGUUCAGAGGCUAGAAUGGAUUAAUAGCUUUUCAAUGCAUUCAGUUCAAAAUUUGCAUUGAGAUAAAAGCAAUUUGAGUUAAGAGCUCAGUCACAGAAUGAAGUGAAUUCUUAACUCAAGGUAUCACUGUACUUUGUGUUCAUCAACUUUCAUUACUUUCUUAUAUUUAUGUAAUUUCUAUGCUAUCAUUCUUGGAAAUGACCAACAGCCUUAGUCAUUUUGACCUGGGCUUGCAUUGCUGUCCUUUUGUCUUACCCUUUAAUCAAGGGAGAGAUUAUUAUUGUUAGUAAAGAUGAUAGUGGUAGUAUUGUUUAUAUUCUUAGAAAAACCAAUUUUAAUUAGAGCUUCAUUCAACCCAAGACAAGCACAUCCACAAUGAGAAGGGAGAUCAAUAUCAGAAGUCAAUUCAUAGAAGAUCUGCUCAAAGCACCCAGAAAAAUAGUACAGAAAAUAUGAUAUAGAAGAAAUGAAGGAUUUUUUUAAAAAAAGUAAUUAAGUUUAUGUAAUGAAACUGUUGACAUUAUAAUGUAUUUAAUAUAAUGAUUAAAAAGUGUGAUAUAAUUUUCAUGAUAUGUAUUAGGUAUUAAAAUAAUGUAAAUGUGAAGAAAUAUAACAUUUGAAUAGGAAAUACUUGAGAGCAGCCUUGGGUCUCACUUUAGGAUAAAGGUGGCAUAGUAAAUAAAAACAUAAAUUAACUAACUAUAAUGACUCCCCUGAAUUGUCAGUCAAUUAAGGGAAGUAUAGUCAAUGCUAGCAAAAAACUUAAGCAGGUAAGGUAGUGAAAUGUGAUCUGUCACAUUUCACUAUCUGUGUUUAAUAUCAGCCAGUCACAUUGCAAUAGAAAGCUGACUUGUAGCUGACAUGAUCACAGUUCAAAAUAACCCACAGCUAACUUCAGGUCAGUGAAAACCAGCUGCUUGAUAAGAAUUUUUUGAUAAGAAGUCAUUCAGUUUGCUGAAACUAUGGCAGGGUUGCCAUAGGUAAACAGGUGAAGUAAAUGUUUUGAUCCAUACAUUAAACAACGUUGUGGCAUAUUUUAUCAUUUUAGAAGAACUCAAAAACCGAUGUCUGAUUUUGGACUAUUAUAGGAUGUGUGUGUGUGUGUGUGACUGAGUGUGUGUUUGAAUGGGUAUUAUUUAUCUUCUUCUUCACCAGAAAUAAUAAUAUAAUAAUAACUUUAUUCUUAUAACCCGCCUCCAUCUGUCUGAAGGGACUUGGGGUGGCUUACAUUGGGACCAAGCCCAGUAAACAAGAAAUACAUGGUACAAAAUUAAAACAUAUUACAAAAUCAGCAUAAUUAAAAUAAUUAAAACCAAGACAAUAAAAACAUCAUAAAAUACAUCAAUCAGCCUCACAGAACCAAAAAUGAGCCUACUGAGAAUUGCAAAUGAGGGGAAGGACAGGGCUUGUGCAAAAACGCAGAACAUUAGAACCAAGAC